UAGGGAGUUUUCGGCAAUGGGCGAAAGCCUGACCGAGCAACGCCGCGUGAGUGAUGAAGGUCUUCGGAUUGUAAAGCUCUGUUGCGAGGGACGAAACGUGCGAUCAGGAAAUGGGUCGCAUUUGACUAUACCUCGCCAGAAAGUGACGGCUAACUACGUG
rnacentral:rRNA from 1 species